UACGUAGGGGGCUAGCGUUGUCCGGAAUCAUUGGGCGUAAAGCGCGUGUAGGCGGUCCGGUAAGUCCGCUGUGAAAGUCGAGGGCUCAACCCUCGAAUGCCGGUGGAUACUGUCGGGCUUGAGUACGGGAGAGGCGAGUGGAAUUCCUGGUGUAGCGGUGAAAUGCGCAGAUAUCAGGAGGAACACCGAUUGCGAAGGCAGCUCGCUGGAACGUUACUGACGCUGAGGCGCGAAAGCGUGGGGAGCGAACGGG
rnacentral:rRNA from 1 species